GGAGCCGGCCAGACAGUCGCGUCAUCGUCCUGCAAGGGGCGGUGCCGAGGAAAGUCCGGGCUCCACAGGGCACGGUGCCAGGUAACGCCUGGGCGGCGCGAGCCGACGGAAAGUGCAACAGAGAGCAGACCGCCGAUGGCCUGCAAAGGCACAGGCAAGGGUGAAACGGUGCGGUAAGAGCGCACCGCGAGUCCGGCAACGGACCGGCACGGCAAACCCCACCGGGAGCAAGGCCAAAUAGGGACCUCAUGAUGCGGCCCGCAUCGGGUCCGGGUAGGCCGCUCGAGCCUGCCAGUGAUGGCAGGCCCAGAAGAAUGACUGUCCACGACAGAACCCGGCUUAUCGGCCGGCUCCGCCA
rnacentral:RNase_P_RNA from 1 species